GACCGCGUAGCUCAGUUGGAAGAGCAUUGGGCUAGUAUUCCAAAGGUAGUAGGUUCGAAUCCCGCCGUGGCCA